rnacentral:rRNA from 1 species
CGGUCUAAUACUCGACACUGAGUGUUCAGCCAAAUAAGCUGAAUGUUGAGUGUUGAGUGUUAGAUAGUGGCGAACGGGUGAGUAACGCGUAGAUAAUCUGCCUCAAAGAUGGGGACAACACUUGGAAACGAGUGCUAAUACCGAAUGUGGUAUCUUGUGUGCAUACACGAGAUAAAAAAGAUGGCCUCUGUAUAUGCUAUCGCUUUGAGAUGAGUCUGCGUCUGAUUAGCUAGUUGGAGAGGUAAAAGCUCACCAAGGCGACGAUCAGUAGCCGGUCUGAGAGGAUGAACGGCCACACUGGGACUGAGACACGGCCCAGACUCCUACGGGAGGCAGCAGUGGGGAAUCUUCCGCAAUGGACGAAAGUCUGACGGAGCAACGCCGCGUGAGUGAAGAAGGUCUUCGGAUUGUAAAGCUCUGUCAACUAGGACGAAUGUGUGACUUGUAAAUAAUGAGUCAUAAUGACGGUACUAGAGAAGGAAGCCACGGCUAACUACGUGCCAGCAGCCGCGGUAAUACGUAGGUGGCGAGCGUUGUCCGGAAUUAUUGGGCGUAAAGAGCGCGUAGGCGGGUAAAUAAGUCUGUUUUAAAAGUGCGGAGCUCAACUCCGUGAUGGAAUGGAAACUGUUUAUCUUGAGUACCGGAGAGGAAAGUGGAAUUCCCAGUGUAGCGGUGAAAUGCGUAGAUAUUGGGAGGAACACCAGUGGCGAAGGCGACUUUCUGGACGGUGUCUGACGCUGAGGCGCG